rnacentral:rRNA from 1 species
CGAACUUUCUAGAGAUAGAUUGGUGCCUUCGGGAACGCAGUGACAGGUGCUGCAUGGCUGUCGUCAGCUCGUGUUGUGAAAUGUUGGGUUAAGUCCCGUAACGAGCGCAACCCUUAUCCUUAUUUGCCAGCACUUCGGGUGGGAACUCUAAGGAGACUGCCGGUGACAAACCGGAGGAAGGUGGGGACGACGUCAAGUCAUCAUGGCCCUUACGACCAGGGCUACACACGUGCUACAAUGGUAAAUACAAAGGGACGCCAAGCCGCGAGGUGGAGCUAAUCCCAGAAAAUUUAUCGUAGUCCGGAUUGGAGUCUGCAACUCGACUCCAUGAAGUCGGAAUCGCUAGUAAUCGUGGAUCAGAAUGCCACGGUGAAUACGUUCCCGGGCCUUGUACACACCGCCCGUCACACCAUGGGAGUGGAUUGCACCAGAAGUAGUUAGUCUAACCUUCGGGGGGACGAUUACCACGGUGUGGUUCAUGACUGGGGUGAAGUCGUAACAAGGUAGCCCUAGGGGAACCUGGGGCUGGAUCACCUCCUUAAACGAA